AGGUGUACUUAGUAUGAAAUGCUUGUCCUGACUGCGUCUUUAACCACAACGUUGUUGCACUCCAUACAAUAUUAACUUACUUAGUAAAAAUGAAGCUUUUAUAUAUAUUUUUAUUGUGUUUUCUUCUGGUCGCUGCUGAUAAGAAGAACAAAGGUACAAAAAGGCCGCCUUUCAUAGUUCACAACAAUAUUCUACCGCCGAGGCAAUUGGAACAUAUUUACGAACAAGCCAGAGGAAAACCGAAACCUUGAUUAGUCCGUCUAAGAAGAUAAAUAAUAACAGUACAAAUAAAGCGCCACCUUUCAUAGUUCACACAAAUAUUCUGCCGCGGAGUCAACUGGAACAUCUUUACAAACAAGAUUUAAAAGAAAAACGGAAAGAAGAAAACCAAGUAAUAAUGUUUUUUUACAGCAUAUAUUAUCAUCGGCAAGGAUAUUGAGCCCUGACCUUCACCUGCGCAGAAGUGAUUUAUUGGUUUAUUGCCAGGUGCGCAAAGCGAUCCCCACUCUUCAGCCGAGAGCUCAAUAUCCGUGCCGAUAACUAUACCUACCUAAUAUACUUGACGUGCUCAAAUUGGAAAAGUUAGUUGCACCAUUUAACUAUAACGAUAACCAAACUAUAACCAGCCGUAUACUUGCCGCCCAUUGGUCAAAACCAGCGAUUUGACAACUGAAAACGGUUCGGAUAUCAAAAAGGUAAAACUGGGACUAAUUGGAGAUUUUAAAACCACAAUGUUAAUAAUAUGUAAUUAACAAAACAUCAGUUGACGACUGGUCAAAUUCAAUACAUCUAUUGAACUGACAAAAAAUAUCAUUUUUAUGCAAUUUGUGUGAAAUAUAAACUGUGACGUCACAGUUGUCACUUCAAGCUUGGUGUAUAUUUAUUUUGCUUUAAAACCUUUUUCGUCCACCAACAAGGAUGACAGACGACCUUAUAAAGGUCGCCGGAAGACGCUGGAUGCAGGUCGCUUCCAACAGGUAUCUGUGGAGAUCUAAGGGGGAGGCCUAUGUUCAGCAGUGGACGUCCUACGGCUAAGAUAAUGAUGAUGAAAACCUUUUUUCCAUCGAAACAAUAAAUGAAAUCAUCCUCCUGCCUUUAUCCCAAAACAGUCAAUGAAAAUGACAUUAUUUGAAUAUGCCUUACCAAAUGUUAUAUCAUAAGAAAUUAUACAAUAGGGUCCCGUUUUACCCUUUGGGUACGGAACCCUAAUUAACCCUGCUAUACCAAGGGCAUCUUGUUAAACCUGUAUGAAAUAAAACUCGUAUUCCCGUUUCAUAUAUUUUUAGACCCCUAGGUAUUAAAUACUUGCUCUGGCUGGACCUUAGCUCACAACGUUGUUGAAUUUCUUACAAUAUCUACGUAGGAACUAAAAUAAAUCGCAUUUUGAGUUGCGUAGUCGGGCAAAAAUGAAGCAUUUCUUCAUAUUAUUUUGGUGUUUUAUAUUAGUGAGUGCUGAUACUAGGAUAAAUGGUAAGUGUUAUUAUAUGUAUUUACUAUAGUUAUAGGCAGUUUUCUUGAAACAAGUGUUUGCUAUUAAUUUUCACGUUCAAUUUUCAAAGGCGUUGAGCUUGGGCCUCAGAAGUGCCAAAUUAAGGGCUUUAUGAAUAAAAAAAAAUACAAUUAAAGUCAUGAGCAACGGCACGGAUCAUUUUGGUCCUAAACCAAAGUCACAUGCAUAAAAUACAUACAAUUAUAUUACAUACAAAUCUUAUUAAUGUAUUAAGUUACAUAAAAUUAUGUAAGUUUGAAAAAAUUCUAGAUUCUUCUCUUGUCUUUAUCAAAACUCAAUUCAUUGGUUUUGCUUUCAGAAAUCCCUAUAACAUUGAAUACCACUACACCACUCGAAGAAACGACACCACAAAACUAUGAAAUUCUUACAGAACUGAAUGCCACUACACCACUCGAAGAAACGACACCACAAAACUAUGAUUUUCUUACACAAUUGAAUGCUACUACAGAAACGACACCACAGAACUAUGAUAUUCUUACACAAUUGGAUGCUACACCACCACCACCUGAAACUUGGAUACCACAAAACUAUGGUAUCCCUGUGCAGAAUUACAGUAUUCCGAAUAGAGAGCCAAUAAUCUAUGGAUAUCCGACGCAGCAGAAUGACACUUUUCCGAAUAGACACCAGGUCCAAGAACCAAUUAAUGUUGGUGCAGCAUCUGCCUCAGCCAUUUUGCCCUUUCCGCAGUUACAAGAUAUUUUUAAUAGAAAAGGUUGACUGGAUAGAAGUUCUGUCUGAUAGAAUAGUUUUUUAAGCAGUGCACAAAAAAAGGUUCAGGUUCAGGAAAAUUGGGAACGGCUGUUAAUUGAAGAUUUUAGUUAAGCGACUGCGCAAUUAACUGUGAAUAAAUUCGCAUUUAUACAA
rnacentral:lncRNA from 1 species